CCUAGACACCUUGGCGGCAUUCGGAAAUCUCUUCGCAGGGGUUGUGUCUGAAAGAAAUUUUGCAAAACUGAAAAAUUUGAAAUUCUUGUCUUUGGAAUCACCAUACAUCACCUUUGAUUUUGAUCCCCUCUGGAUACCACCUUUCCAACUUGACAAGCUGUACCUUGGCCGACUGCACCCUACACUUCCUCAAUGGGUAUAUACACAGACAUCUCUCUAUUUUCUCAUCAUUGAAAACUCAGAGUUCUUGCUUGAAGCUGCUGACAAUAACAACAACUUUUGGAGAUUUACAUCCACAAUUCAGCAUCUCAAAUUGUACAACAACACAAUAGAAGGGGACUUAUCUGAAGUGUUGCUGAACUCCAGCAUCAUAGAGCUGAUAUCAAAUAAUUUCAAAGGUGGUCUACCUCGACUUUCAUCCAAUGUUGUUUUCUUCAAACUAUACAACAGUUCUCUAUCAGGGUCCAUGUCACAUUUCUUGUGCCACAGCAAGAAAAGCAACAAUAAAUUGCAGUACUUGGACAUCUCUAAUAAUAAUUUAUAUAGAGGACUAACAGACUGUUGGAUGAAUUGGAAGUCGCUGGUUCAUGUUAAUCUGGGAGGCAACAAUCUUAGUGGCAACAUACCCCCAUCAAUGGCCUUAUUGUCAAAUAUCACAUCACUUCAUCUGCAUGAAAAUAAUUUGUCUGGGGACAUAUCAUCUUCAUCACUUCAGUAUUGCCACUCCCUGUCCAUCCUUAAUGUCCGCGAGAAUAGCUUCUCUGGAAACAUACCAAAGUGGAUGCCGCAGAGUAUAAGGAUUCUCCAGUUAAGGUCCAACAAAUUCAUUGGUAACCUUCCCUCACAGAUAUGUCAAAUGCCUUUCCUCAUUGUUUUGGAUAUUGCAUAUAACAGAAUCUCAGGACAUAUACCCAAAUGUCUAAACAACAUCACAUCCUUUGUUGACAUGCAUUAUUCAACCAGUUGGAUUUUCUAUAAAUUCUUUGAUGGAAGGACUCUCUAUAUAUACAGUGACAACCUUAUAUUGCUUGUAAAAGGUCAACAAUCGAAUUAUGAGUUGAGUCUGAAGCUGAUGCGCAUGGUUGAUCUUUCAAGUAAUAAUUUGACAGGAACAAUGUCUCCACAACUGUUCAGCCUCUCUCAGUUGCAUUUCUUGAACCUAUCCCAUAACAGGCUAACAGGAACCAUACCAAAAGAGGUUGGAAACAUGAGACAACUGGAGUCUCUUGAUUUAUCCAAAAAUGAACUCACGGGAGGGAUUCCUGAGAGCCUGUCUAGUUUGUCUUUCCUCAAUAACUUGAACCUGUCAUUCAAUAACUUGAGCGGCCAAAUCCCAUCAGGGACCCAACUUCAGAGCUUCAGUGAGCUUAGCUAUAUUGGAAAUGCUGAUCUUUGUGGACCUCCCCUUCCCAAAAACUGCUCAAAUCAUGAUGAUGGCACAAAGACUUCGGGUGAGAAUGAUGAUGAUGAUGAUGAUGAUGAUGAAUCUGAGUUUCGGAACUGCCUCUAUAUGGGCUUAGGAGUUGGCUUUGCUGUAGGCUUUUGGGGAGUUUGUGGUGCCAUUUUCUUCAGUCGCAAGUGCAGACAUGCUUACUUCAGAUUUCUGUAUGACUUGAGAGACCGAUUUUAUGUCCUGCUGCUCACAAAUCUCAACUCCUUUCACUGAUAUCCAAUUCUCUGCAGGUAACCUCUUAACUAUGGCAUAACUAUAUAUACUUUGUAUUUUAGUAUUUUCUUACCAUCUAACAUACAUAUUUAAAAGGUAAAAUGUUUUGAGUUUUAUUUUCUGUUAUAUAUGGACAUGCACCCUUUCGAAUCAAUUAUAUUUAUUUCUUGGAUUAACUUCCACAAAUGACUUGAAUGGGUAGAGAUUUAAAAAAAAAAAUUCUUAUCUUUGCAGGUUUUUUUGAAGAACAUAAUACAUAAAAUCUCAUCAGCUGCACCUGCCAUAAAGAUCCAGCAGAUACUUCAUGCAGUGUAUUGCGCUUACAGUAUCACUAGCUAAUCAUUGAAUCCCAAUGUCACUUUUAUAUUCUAAAAUAAAGCUUAGAUAUAGUUUCUUGGUUUUGAUGCAGAAUAUUAUUUCUCUAAUCAUUUGUGUAAUGUUACUUACUGGUAUGUGAUGCAUUAAUUAUAUAUAUAGUAGGUCACAAGGAUUUGUUUCUAGUGUGAUGGUUCUACAUAGAUAUUCCAAGUGAUGAUUGUUUUCUUAUUAAUAGUUUGUGCUUUGCUAUAAGCUACUGCUUUGUGUGUACAAGAUAAUAAGUUAACAACUAAGAAGGAAAUAGUAUCUCUUAAUUUCACACCAGCUAAAUGACAGGAAAUGAAGAGUUAAUAUUGUUUGAAUGUAUGUAUAAUAAUUUAUAUUUAUUUGUUUAUUUUUAUUAGGAUAAAAGUGAGACCCACUUUAAUACAUCUAAGAAUUUUCUUAUCACAAAAUGUGUUACAUAUAUAUAAUGCUAGAGGCCUAGAAUUAAAGAGUGCUUUGCUUUACAUUUUUUGGGAAUGCAUCUCAUUUUAUUACUUGCAGUGUACAAAAUAAUGGGUGAUUUACUCUCUGUUGUUUUAAACUACUUUUGAUCAAGUCACCAAAAAAAAGACUACUUUUGGACGGGCCUAACUAUUUAAUGAAGAAGCUUUCUGUAAAAGUCCAAUACAACAAGAGCCCAACAUGAGAAUACUAUCUCCUUUACUUUACAGUUUACACCUAUCAUCCUGUGCUGAGUAACAAAGAAGUUAUCAUCCAUAAUGAAUGGUGCUCACUAGAGGAAGAAACUUUCCACAGCUGAUGGAGGAAUACACAAGUCAGUCAAGUGUCCCUAAAAUUCCACAUCUAUAAUGACUUUCCAACCACAAGAGUAAGAGAUAUGAUUCAGUUGGUCUUGCAUGAAUGGCACCUAUCGUAAUCGUACUCUUGCUAUAUAUACAUAGCUUAACAAAGAAGCGAGAUAUGAACCCUAAUUAUAAUUCAGGUUUGCUUUCUUUAAUUAAUCAAUGGAUAGCAAUAAUAUACUUUGGAAGAAGCAAUAUGUGUUUGCAAUGAUGUUGAGCACAUUAUGCAUGAUAUCCAGUUGUUGCGACGUGAGAGAUAAAGAAAUCCUGUUGAAGUUCAAAGAAGGAGUCACUGACCCAUCGGGACUCCUAUCUUCAUGGAAGCAGGAGCAGGAUUGCUGCCAGUGGAAGGGAGUCAGAUGCCACAACAUCACUGCCAGAGUCAUAAAUCUCACUCUCUCGUGUGAUUAUUAUGAUCCUGUAGAACUUGUAGAACAUGAUGAUUAUUAUUUGCAGAAAUGCCUUACAGGUGACAUCAAUCUCUCUCUAUUGGAUAUGGAAUACUUACAAUCUUUGGAUUUGAGUUUCAAUGACUUUACAACUAUCUCAUCUGAUUCCACUCUCAACUCUUCAACUCUCAAUUACAUUGAUCUAUCAUACAACAGAUACCUUUCUAUCAAGAGUCUUGAGUGGCUCUCUCGCAUUCCCUCCUUGGAAUACAUAGACCUCAGUAACAUUGAUCUUCACAUGCAAACUAACUGGCUUCACUUUGUGACGGUGCUUCCAUCAUUGGUGGAGCUCCACUUAGAGGGCUGUAACCUUGAAAGCAUAAGUCCAUCUCUAGGCUAUGCUAAUUUUAGCGCAUCACUCCAGGUUAUUGUUCUUUCCGGUAAUUCUUUUCACUCGGAGUUGCCUAAAUGGAUAUUCAAUCUUAGUUCUCAGGUCCAUCAGAUUGACCUUUCAAGUAAUCAUUUUAUGGGUCAGCUACCAAAUACGUUGCCAAAUCUUCAUUCUUUGAUUAGCCUUCAAUUGCAUGAUAAUUACUUAAAUGGCUCAAUUCCAGAUUGGAUAGGCCAACUUCACUAUCUCACCACAUUUGAAAUUGAUAACAACCAUUUUUCUGGAUUUUUUCCUACAAAUUUGGGAAAUUUGUCAUCCCUAGACACCUUGGCGGCAUUCGGAAAUCUCUUCACAGGGGUUGUGUCUGAAAGAAAUUUUGCAAAACUGAAAAAUUUGAAAUUCUUGUCUUUGGAAUCACCAUACAUCACCUUUGAUUUUGAUCCCCUCUGGAUACCACCUUUCCAACUUGACAAGCUGUACAUUGGACCACUGCACCCUACACUUCCUCAAUGGUUAUAUACACAGACAUCUCUCUAUUCUCUC
rnacentral:lncRNA from 1 species